AUACCUUUUUCGGCCUUUUGGCUAAGAUCAAGUGUAGUAUCUCUUCUUAUCAGUUUAAUAUCUGAUAUUGAGCCAUCGGCUCACACGAUAUUAAAUUAAUUUUUUUCAUGAAAAAGUUCCCAUCACAGCAGCUUGCUGCUGGAGUUCUCACGCGUCGCCCUUGCGUUGCACUACUGGAGAGGUCAGGCGCACCCCCA